rnacentral:rRNA from 1 species
CCUACGGGAGGCAGCAGUGGGGAAUAUUGGGCAAUGGGCGCAAGCCUGACCCAGCAACGCCGCGUGAAGGAAGAAGGCUUUCGGGUUGUAAACUUCUUUUCUCAGGGACGAAGCAAGUGACGGUACCUGAGGAAUAAGCCACGGCUAACUACGUGCCAGCAGCCGCGGUAAUACGUAGGUGGCAAGCGUUAUCCGGAUUUACUGGGUGUAAAGGGCGUGUAGGCGGGACUGCAAGUCAGGAGUGAAAGCCACGGGCUCAACCUGGGGCCUGCAUUUGAAACUGUAGUUCUUGAGUACUGGAGAGGCAGGCGGAAUUCCUAGUGUAGCGGUGAAAUGCGUAGAUAUUAGGAGGAACACCAGUGGCGAAGGCGGUCUGCUGGACAGCGACUGACGCUGAGGCGCGAAGGCGUGGGGAGCAAACAGGAUUAGAUACCCGUGUAGUC